GCAGGGGUUGCCAAGCCUGGCCAACGGCGCUGGACUUAAGAUCCAGUCCCAUAGGGGUUCGGGGGUUCAAAUCCCCUCCCCUGCA
rnacentral:tRNA from 2 species